AUGGCAGGAACAUAUCAACACACCAGCAAUGAUAACAAUGAAGAUAGAGACAGAUUCAGCGGCAAACCUCCAGUCUUUUAUGGAGAGAAUUUUGAUUACUGGAAAGACAGAAUUGAAAGCUUCUUUCUGGCACAUGAUGCUGAUCUGUGGGACAUGGUGACAGAUGGAUACACGCACCCAGUGAAUGCAAGUGGUCAGAAGAUUGACAGGAAGGCAAUGUCUGAUCAACAAAAGCGUGACUUCAAAAAUCACCACAAGGCCAUAACUAUUCUUCUCAGCACCAUCUCUUACGCUGAAUAUGAAAAAAUAUCUAACAGAGACACUGCAAAGAGUAUGUUUGACUCUCUCAGAAUGACGCAUGAAGGCAACAUUCAGGUCAAAGAAACUAAAGCUCUUGCGCUCAUUCAGAAGUAUGAGGCAUUCAAAAUGGAAGAAAGUGAAUCAAUUGAAACAAUGUUCUCAAGAUUUCAAAUUCUGGUGGCUGGUCUCAAAGUUCUGGACAAAGGGUAUUCUACUGCUAAUCAUGUCAAGAAGAUCAUCAGAAGCUUGCCAAAACAGUGGAGGCCAAUGGUUACAGCGCUGAAGCUAGCUAAAGAUCUCUACAAAAUCUCUCUGGAGGAACUUAUCAGCUCCCUCAGAAGUCACGAGAUAGAGCUAGAAGCUGAUGAACCUCAAAAGCAAGGUAAGCCUUUAGCUUUAAAAUCUAACAGAAAAUCUGACUCCAAAGUUUUGCAGGCUGUUGAA